AUGUGUCGAAAUUGAGGAUUAGGCACAUCCUUGAUAAUGUGCCAUUUUACUGGGAAGAAUCCAUUCCACUUGUCCUGUUGCCAGAAGUUCAUACUCUUGUUGAAAUCUACUGGGCCAAGCAUCUCAGCCACACCACAGAACUGACCACUAGCAUUAACCUGGCCAUUAUAG
rnacentral:rRNA from 1 species